UGAGGAAUAUUGGUCAAUGGGCGAGAGCCUGAACCAGCCAAGUAGCGUGCAGGAAGACGGCCCUACGGGUUGUAAACUGCUUUUAUGAAGGAAUAAAGUCACCCACGUGUGGGUGUUUGCAUGUACUUUAUGAAUAAGCAUCGGCUAACUCCGUGCCAGCAGCCGCGGUAAUACGGAGGAUGCGAGCGUUAUCCGGAUUCAUUGGGUUUAAAGGGUGCGUAGGUUGCCGAUUAAGUCAGCGGUGAAAGUCAGUGGCUCAACCAUUGAACUGCCGUUGAAACUGGUUGGCUUGAGUACGUACGGGGCAGGCGGAAUGCGUGGUGUAGCGGUGAAAUGCAUAGAUAUCACGCAGAACCCCGAUCGCGAAGGCAGCCUGCCAGGCCGUGACUGACACUGAUGCACGAAAGCGUGGGUAUCGAACAGGAUUAGAUACCCUGGUAGU
rnacentral:rRNA from 1 species